GAGACACGCGUCGCGGGAGUGAGCUCCCGGCUUUUCUGCCUCGAUGCGCGGAGGCUCCGUUGCGGGGCCAUACCUAUGGAAAAUGCUUGAGUUUGUGCCUCCACGUCGAGGGCCAUAAAAUUAAUUGGAUACGAUUGGACUCUUUUGCCU
rnacentral:misc_RNA from 1 species